rnacentral:rRNA from 1 species
UACAGAGGUCUCAAGCGUUGUUCGGAUUCAUUGGGCGUAAAGGGUGCGUAGGUGGCGUCGUAAGUCGGGUGUGAAAUUUCGGAGCUUAACUCCGAAACUGCAUUCGAUACUGCGGUGCUUGAGGACUGGAGAGGAGACUGGAAUUUACGGUGUAGCAGUGAAAUGCGUAGAGAUGACAUAGAAUACCUAUUGCGAAGGCAGCUUACUACGCAGAUAUUGACGCUCAUGCACGAAAGCGUGGGGAUCAAACAGG